rnacentral:tRNA from 1 species
AGCUAUUUAUCUGGGAUAAACUUUGUCUUGAAAACAAAGUUGAAGUGUUCAAUUCACUUAAUGGCUU